rnacentral:rRNA from 1 species
CUGGCUCAGGAUGAACGCUGGCGGCGUGCCUAAUACAUGCAAGUCGAGCGAACUGNUUAGAAGCNUGCUUCUAUGACGUUAGCGGCGGACGGGUGAGUAACACGUGGGCANCCUGCCUGUAAGACUGGGAUAACUUCGGGAAACCGAAGCUAAUACCGGAUAGGAUCUUCUCCUUCAUGGGAGAUGAUUGAAAGAUGGUUUCGGCUAUCACUUACAGAUGGGCCCGCGGUGCAUUAGCUAGUUGGUGAGGUAACGGCUCACCAAGGCAACGAUGCAUAGCCGACCUGAGAGGGUGAUCGGCCACACUGGGACUGAGACACGGCCCAGACUCCUACGGGAGGCAGCAGUAGGGAAUCUUCCGCAAUGGACGAAAGUCUGACGGAGCAACGCCGCGUGAGUGAUGAAGGCUUUCGGGUCGUAAAACUCUGUUGUUAGGGAAGAACAAGUACGAGAGUAACUGCUCGUACCUUGACGGUACCUAACCAGAAAGCCACGGCUAACUACGUGCCAGCAGCCGCGGUAAUACGUAGGUGGCAAGCGUUAUCCGGAAUUAUUGGGCGUAAAGCGCGCGCAGGCGGUUUCUUAAGUCUGAUGUGAAAGCCCACGGCUCANCCGUGGAGGGUCAUUGGAAACUGGGGAACUUGAGUGCAGAAGAGAAAAGCGGAAUUCCACGUGUAGCGGUGAAAUGCGUAGAGANGUGGAGGAACACCAGUGGCGAAGGCGGCUUUUUGGUCUGUAACUGACGCUGAGGCGCGAAAGCGUGGGGAGCAAACAGGAUUAGCUUCCCUGGUAGUCCACGCCGUAAACGAUGAGU